rnacentral:rRNA from 1 species
UACGUAGGGUGCAAGCGUUGUCCGGAAUUAUUGGGCGUAAAGAGCUCGUAGGCGGUCCGUCGCGUCGGGAGUGAAAACCCGUGGCUCAACCACGGGCCUGCAUCCGAUACUGGCGGGCUCGAGGCAGGCAGGGGAGAUCGGAAUUCCUGGUGUAGCGGUGAAAUGCGCAGAUAUCAGGAGGAACACCGGUGGCGAAGGCGGAUCUCUGGGCCUGUCCUGACGCUCAGGCGCGAAAGCUAGGGGAGCAAACAGG